rnacentral:misc_RNA from 1 species
ACCCUUGUGGAGGAGGACGCCGAAGGUGGGGCUAAUGACUGGGGUGAAGUCGUAACAAGGUAGCCGUACCGGAAGGUGCGGCUGGAUCACCUCCUAACAGGGAGACAACAAAAUGUUUAAUAUUAUUAUUUUGUCACCUUAGGUCGAUCGGUAUCUCACGUUCUUAAUUUAUUAAGAAUUUCAUUUCCUAAGUUUUUCUAGGUCACACCCAUUAUUUUUCCUGGGCCAUUAGCUCAGGUGGUUAGAGCGCACCCCUGAUAAGGGUGAGGUCCCUGGUUCAAGUCCAGGAUGGCCCAUAUCUCUAUGUUGGGGGUAUAGCUCAGUUGGUAGAGCGCCUGCUUUGCAAGCAGGAUGUCAGCGGUUCGAGUCCGCUUACCUCCACUGAUUACCACCUCUUCCAUAACCGGUAGAAAGGAAAUGUUUUGAGUUGUGAUUAUUAUUCUGAACGAAUCUAGCUUCCUAAUGAAAUCAUUAAGAUGCUGGACUCAUUGAAUUAAUUUCAUUGUUUUCAGAGAACCUUGACAACUGCAUAGAUUAUUUUUAAAGACAAUAAGCAUCUUUAAUGAUGCAGAUUUAUUAUUUGUGCGAAUGCAUUAAUAACAAUUCUAUUGAGCUGAUGCUUCAAUUUUUGAAGUUAUUGGUCAAGCUACAAAGGGCUCACGGAGGAUACCUAGGCACACAGA